AAGGAUACAGUAUUGUUAAAACGUCGCAUGCCACACUAUUAAUAAUUUUUGGAACAUGGCAGUGUCAAUAGCGCAUCCAACUGGAAAAAUUAAAAAGUGCAUACUUCGAAAUGCUAUACGAAAACUGAUAAGCUAAUUCCAGCAGAAAUAGAUAAAUAAUGGUACAUAUCAAACACAUAAUCACCAAAUAUUCAGUAUUCAGCAACAACAGCUUCAAAUUGAUGAGCAAUUCAGCCAACUCAUUAUCAUCCUUAUAACAAAUAUGUGCAAUACUGAAAGUUUCCUUUUAGCGAAUUAGGUGUAUGACUUGCUUUCCUUUAAGAAAGGUG
rnacentral:misc_RNA from 1 species